ACCUUUAGGAUUUCAACCGGGCUCCUGCGAGAGCCGAACUUCUACUACAAGCGAUCUGCUCCGAACACCUACUAUGAGCAGUCUACUCCGAACUCCUACAGCGGGCGGUCUACUCUGGAUCUCUACUGUAAGCAAAUUUCUUUCAAGCCUCUACUGUAAACACAUUUCUUCCAAACUUCUAUUACAGGUAGACUUCAGCCGAGCUUCUUCAUAGCUGGAUUCCAGAUGAGCUUCUACAAUGGGACAGGACCUACCGG
rnacentral:lncRNA from 1 species